CGUCGCCGCCGCUGCUGGUGUUGGUGCUGGUGCUGCUGGUUUCUGUUGUUGGUGACGGGCGGAGAUGGAUCCUCACAAUAAUAACCCCUAUCCUCCUCAAAACCCUGGGGAUUCGUAUCCCCCUCAAGUGUCCGCCAUGGGCUACCCGCCUCACAACCCCAGCGAAGAUGAGGUUCGUGCCGAUUUAAGAGUUUUAUCGUUUCUGUGAUUGAUUCUCUGUAAUUGGUUAGUAUUCCAUGUAUUGAUGCGUUGUUCAGGUUCUGUGGACAUAAUUUUUAUUAUCCUUGUUGGGUUAAUUCAUAUCUGUCGAUGUCCAUUGUCUACACUCUGAGAUCGUGCUAUGACCGACGGAGGACUCUACAGGAUCAUGUGUAAUUUUCAGGGUUUUAUGUUGCCGUCCAUUCAAGAUUCAUUUAUUGUUGUUGAACCCUGUUUUCUGAUACUUUAUUGUUUUCAUCUACAGAGCCAAGAUAGAGGCUUAGGCAGUCAGAUUGUGCACGGCUUGACCCAACAAAUUGGCCAUGGCCAUGGACAAGGACAAGGACAACAUGGCUACCCACCUCAGGGCUAUCCGCCUCAGGGUUAUCCACCGCAAGGCUACCCACCGCAAGGUUAUCCACCUCAGGGUGGCUAUGGUUACCCCCCUGCGGCACCUCCAGGUUACCCGCAAACCCAUGGUUCACAUGGUAGCUCACAAAGUGGUUCCCAUGGAGUUGGUGGAGUUGGUGCGUAUCUAUCCCCAAUUGACUAGUGAAUGAUUUUUAUGUGUACUUAUCAAGGUUGAUAAGUUAUGAUUCGAUCAUGGGCUACUGGCGCAUUGUAAGUCGUGUUUGGUUAGGAUCCAGUGUGAGCACAUGCAGGUAUGUGACUUGCAGCAUCACGAGUGUUUUUGGGGAUUUUACGGCUUCAGUGAUAUCGAAAAUUCUCAGUGGAGAAUGUAUUUGUUUCGGAGGCUGUGCGUGAUCUUUAAAUCCAUUUUGUUUCUGCAGGGGG
rnacentral:lncRNA from 1 species